rnacentral:sRNA from 1 species
CUCGUCAGCCUUUUCUUCUUGCUUUUAAUUAAUUUUAGUCAUGAGCGUCAGGACAAAGGAUAUGAUGGCAUAUCUGUGCGCAUCUUUUGAGAAGUAAUGCUUAUAUAUCUUUAUCUUCCUAGUGAUGACUCUACUCAUAAUACACUUUUUGUUGUCACUUGUGAAAGAAUUUGAAGCCUAUUAUGCGACUACUGUUGUUGGUGCUGGGCUUAAUCAUCGACAAGCAUUCCUCGUGGUGGCCACCUAACGACGGCAAAUAUGACGCCGCAACGUGAAAAAUACUUCAGUUGCAAUUUGCCUAUGAAUAAGAAUGGCUUC